rnacentral:rRNA from 1 species
AGAGUUUGAUCAUGGCUCAGGAUGAACGCUAGCGGGAGGCUUAACACAUGCAAGUCGAGCGGGAUUAGCAGCAACGCUAUGAGAGCGGCGCACGGGUGCGUAACGCGUAUGCAACCUGCCUUAUACAGGGGAAUAGCCCAUGGAAACGUGGAUUAAUGUCCCAUAGGAUCACGGAUUCGCAUGGAUAUGUGAUUAAAACUGAGGUGGUAUAAGAUGGGCAUGCGUCUGAUUAGGUAGUUGGUGAGGUAACGGCUCACCAAGCCGACGAUCAGUAGGGGUUCUGAGAGGGAUACCCCCACACUGGUACUGAGACACGGACCAGACUCCUACGGGAAGCAGCAGUUGAGAAAUAUGGUC